rnacentral:rRNA from 1 species
AGAGUUUGAUCCUGGCUCAGGAUGAACGCUGGCGGCGUGCUUAACACAUGCAAGUCGAACGAAGCGCUUGAACAGAUUUCUUCGGAUUGAAGUUUUUGCGACUGAGUGGCGGACGGGUGAGUAACGCGUGGGUAACCUGCCUCAUACAGGGGGAUAACAGUUAGAAAUGACUGCUAAUACCGCAUAAGCGCACGGUGCUGCAUGGCACAGUGUGAAAAACUCCGGUGGUAUGAGAUGGACCCGCGUCUGAUUAGCUAGUUGGUGGGGUAACGGCCUACCAAGGCGACGAUCAGUAGCCGGCCUGAGAGGGUGAACGGCCACAUUGGGACUGAGACACGGCCCAAACUCCUACGGGAGGCAGCAGUGGGGAAUAUUGCACAAUGGGGGAAACCCUGAUGCAGCGACGCCGCGUGAGCGAAGAAGUAUUUCGGUAUGUAAAGCUCUAUCAGCAGGGAAGAAAAUGACGGUACCUGACUAAGAAGCACCGGCUAAAUACGUGCCAGCAGCCGCGGUAAUACGUAUGGUGCAAGCGUUAUCCGGAUUUACUGGGUGUAAAGGGAGCGUAGACGGAGUGGCAAGUCUGAUGUGAAAACCCGGGGCUCAACCCCGGGACUGCAUUGGAAACUGUCAAUCUGGAGUACCGGAGAGGUAAGCGGAAUCCCUAGUGUAGCGGUGAAAUGCGUAGAUAUUAGGAGGAACACCAGUGGCGAAGGCGGCUUACUGGACGGUAACUGACGUUGAGGCUCGAAAGCGUGGGGAGCAAACAGGAUUAGAUACCCUGGUAGUCCACGCGGUAAACGAUGAAUGCUAGGUGUCGGGUGACAAAGUCAUUCGGUGCCGCCGCAAAGGCAUUAAGCAUUCCACCUGGGGAGUACGUUGCCAAGAAUGAAACUCAAAGGAAUUGACGGGGACCCGCACAAGCGGUGGAGCAUGUGGUUUAAUUGGAAGCAACGCGAAGAACCUUACCAAGUCUUGACAUCCCUCUGACCGGAACUUAACCGUUCCUUUCCUUCGGGACAGAGGAGACAGGUGGUGCAUGGUUGUCGUCAGCUCGUGUCGUGAGAUGUUGGGUUAAGUCCCGCAACGAGCGCAACCCCUAUCCCCAGUAGCCAGCGGUUCGGCCGGGCACUCUGAGGAGACUGCCAGGGAUAACCUGGAGGAAGGCGGGGAUGACGUCAAAUCAUCAUGCCCCUUAUGAUUUGGGCUACACACGUGCUACAAUGGCGUAAACAAAGGGAAGCGAACCUGCGAGGGUGGGCAAAUCCCAAAAAUAACGUCCCAGUUCGGACUGUAGUCUGCAACCCGACUACACGAAGCUGGAAUCGCUAGUAAUCGCGGAUCAGAAUGCCGCGGUGAAUACGUUCCCGGGUCUUGCACACACCGCCCGUCA